ACUCUGUUCCAAGAAUUCUACUCUUUUACAGAGCAUCUUUUUGAGUGUCUUGGUUUUAAUUGGAUUUGGAUCUCCACAUCGUUGGUGGAAGAAGGUUAUCAGAAUGGCUUCAAAAUUUGCGACCACAAUUGGCGACGUACGAAGGGACAAGGAAUUAAGGUGAUUGCUGGGAGCCUUGGGGAAUGCCAAAGCCUUGCACAUCAGAGAACACCAAGCGGCCGCUACAAUAAGUUCUAUUCUAGUUCCAGUGUGAAGAGGUAGAGUUUGAAGCACUGAGGAGGGACAUGCAGUCUGACCGGGCACUUGGCAACCAAAAGGAAAGAGAAGAACAUUUCAUUGGUAUGGGGCAAACUGAGAAGAUUAAGGUAAGGCAGAGUUGAGUCAGAAUGAUUAAACCUCUAUAGGUGAGCGACUAUUAACCUAGUAAAAUCCAAAUUUACAAAAGUUGAAGUAGACCUUUUACCCUGCAAUUAGCACUGUUUGUUUUUCAGGAGGUCUCAGUGUUCAUCAUGGCCAUCCAGGUGUAUUGUAAAUAUAAUGCCAAUUACAUGUAUUAUUUACGGUCCAAAAUUUACUAUCACUCAAGUUAAGGAAAAUGGGGUGUGAAGUAAUUGUCUGCCUCAGAGUCCACCACCAAAUUGUGUAACAAGGUCCAAUUAGGGAAUUUCUUAUGAUUACUGUCUAUAAACAACCCAUGCAUGAAAAUUUGUAUGAAUAGUCUAAUACAGCUGUUUUAGCUUUUCAAUGGCUAUUUUUCUAUAAGAACAAAGGCUGUCAUGCUGUAUAUUAUUCAACUCAAGGUUGAACAGGCAUGAAAUCAUGAUGCCAGUCAUCUAAAGGCACAUUAUUAUCUAAGGAUAAACUGCAAAAAUAAAACAUUAAAACACAAUUAUUUAUCUGACCCCCUUUUAGCAAGAAAUUUGGAGAGGAGGAACUCCCUUUUUAACAGGAAUAAAUGCCCAGUAGAACUGGGCACAGGGGGGAGUGGUCAUCUGCUGUGACCAGCUGAGUAAGGAGAAGGACACAGGACUAAAAAUAUGCUGUGUAGGAGAGCCAGAGAUUGAUAAUAACUAAUAACUAAUAAUAACUCAAAAGAGAGACCUAAAAACUGGAGGCCUGGCUUCCCAUUCUACUUUUAAAUAUUCUAGUAAGCUUAAAGUUCGAGAGUCAAGUGGGGAGAUAUAGUACUAUAGGAGCAGUAUGGUAAUUUAAAAAAAACCAAACAGAUUUAACAAGGAGCCUAUGAAGAGAAAUCAAUAGGAGAAAUGUACUCUGUCAUUCUAGUCCCUUUCAGCAUUCAUGUUGCAACAUUUUGAUGUAGAUGGAUGCUUUUUAAGGAGUUACAAUGUCUACAACAUCCUGAUAAAAACAAAUUACAGUGGGACAGCCUAGAAGUAAUAAAUGCAUGAAUUUGUCUUCCAGCAUCACUCUGGGACAGGACUUUAGAGAUCUUGCAGAAAUUGAAGAAAGCAGUCCUGAAAAAGCACAUAUUAGUGCAUAUUGGGAUUUAAAAAAUUACUCCAAGAAACCUCACAGUGUUAAUGGAGACCAAGGUAAUGCCAUUCAGAGCAUUCCUUUAGGUUGACUGACAGGUGUGUGUUGUUUGGCUUCAUGGAUGAAUGAGAGAGAGGGUGUCAUCAGCACGGCAGAGGUAUGUUGUGUCUUUUGUGGUGUUACCUGAAGGAGGCAUGUGUUAUGUAAAUAGAAAUAGAUCCUGGUGUGAAACCUUGUGAAGCUCAAUGGUUAGUCUUGUGUAUGUGGGAGGAUUCUUAGAAUAACAUGUUAUGGUCACAAGUGUCGAACAUAGAGAUCAAUCCACUGUCAGAGGCCUUAAGAAGAUCAUUUUUAACUUUCAUCAAAGCUGUCUCUAUACUGUGAUGUGCUCUGAAACCUGACUGAAACUCUUUAAAUAAGGCAUUCCUCUGUGGCUAUUUUACAGCAUCUCUUGUGGGGAUUUUUGACAUAAAGGAAAGUUGGAGGCCUAUAAUUGGCUAGGACAGUUAGGUCAAGUGAUGGUUUAACUACUGCCAAUAUGAAGAACUGUGUGGUUAAUAUUGCAUUGUCUAACUUAGCUUUGAAAAUUUCAAUUCUGCGGCUAUAGAGGUGUGGGAAGUUUGAUCAGCCAUAUAGCCAGCAACGGCAAGUCUAGGGCUAAAAGCGCUAAUGAUGAAUUGUGACCUGGCAGCCGGUAACAGAGUUAAUGUUUAUCCAAAUUCAGCAUAUAAAUGUGACAUGUGCUCAAUAGUGUUUAAGAACAAAGGAGAUCUUAGAGAAGCCAACAGAGCCCCAAUACUGUAUGAAGAAGCAGUAACUCAGCUA